AUUCCCCACUGCUGCCUCCCGUAGGAGUUUGGGCCGUGUCUCAGUCCCAAUGUGGCCGUCCGCCCUCUCAGGCCGGCUACCGAUCGUUGCUUUGGUGGGCUCUUACCUCACCAACCGGCUAAUCGGACGCGGGUCCAUCCUGUACCUGAUUGCUCAUUUCCCGUCAGAGUCAUGCGGCUCCGACGACUUACGCGGUCUUAUCAGCCGUUUCCAGCUGCUAUCCCCCAGUACAGGGCAGGUUGCCCACGCGUUACUCACCCAUCCGCCACUAAGCAAAUCCAAAAUCCAUCCGAAGAUCUCAUCCGGACCGCUCCGUUCGACUUGCAUGUGUUAGGCACGCCGCCAGCGUUCAUCCUGAGCCAA
rnacentral:rRNA from 1 species